rnacentral:tRNA from 1 species
GCGCCCGUAGCUCAGUUGGAUAGAGCGUCGGCCUCCGGAGCCGAAGGCCGCCGGUUCGAAUCCGGCCGGGCGCG